GUAUUACUAAGCGGAGGAAAAGAAACUAACAAGGAUUCCCCUAGUAACGGCGAGUGAAGUGGGAAAAGCUCAACUUUAAAAUCUGGCAGCUUCGCUGUCCGAGUUGUAGUCUCGAGAAGUGUUUUCCGCGUUAAUGCAUGUAUGAGUCUGUUGGAAUACAGCGUCAUAGAGGGUGAGAACCCCGUUCAUGACAUGCUUUUUAAUGCUCUGUGAUACACUUUCGAUGAGUCGAGUUGUUUGGGAAUGCAGCUCAAAGUGGGUGGUAAAUUCCAUCUAAAGCUAAAUAUUGGCGGGAGACCGAUAGCGCACAAGUA
rnacentral:rRNA from 1 species